rnacentral:lncRNA from 1 species
UUUUUUUAUUUUCCUUCUUCCUUCUUUCUCCUUUCUCCUACCUAAUCCAACUCCUCCCCUUCUUCUACCUGCGUGUUACACUUGUUCACGAGCGCACGCAUUCGUGCUUCCCCUGCGCGAGCGUUCUGCAACCUCGCACUUACUGCUUAACACUUAGUGCGUGAGAGAUGAACAGAGCAUUCAUCUCUCUGGAUGACGACCCAUGGUUUAACGCAUGGAUGGCAUU